CCUACGGGAGGCAGCAGUGAGGAAUAUUGGUCAAUGGACGAGAGUCUGAACCAGCCAAGUAGCGUGAAGGAUGACUGCCCUACGGGUUGUAAACUUCUUUUAUAUAGGAAUAAAGUGAUGCACGUGUGCGUUUUUGUAUGUACUUUAUGAAUAAGGAUCGGCUAACUCCGUGCCAGCAGCCGCGGUAAUACGGAGGAUCCGAGCGUUAUCCGGAUUUAUUGGGUUUAAAGGGAGCGUAGAUGGGUUGUUAAGUCAGUUGUGAAAGUUUGCGGCUCAACCGUAAAAUUGCAGUUGAUACUGGCAGUAUUGAGUACAGUAGAGGUAGGCGGAAUUCGUGGUGUAGCGGUGAAAUGCUUAGAUAUCACGAAGAACUCCGAUUGCGAAGGCAGCCCACUAAACUGCAACUGACACUGAUGCUCGAAAGUGUGGGUAUCAAACAGGAUUAGAUACCUGGGUAGUC
rnacentral:rRNA from 1 species